rnacentral:lncRNA from 1 species
GGUCGCUUCAAAUCGAUUUUACUUGUCCUUUCUGUCUUUUCGGAUCAACGCCCUUCAAUGGGCACAGAGGUGCUCUUUCAACCAAAAACUUGUGCUACAUUUUCUGCCUGUAUUGGUGCUAAAUACAAUAAGCACUGGGCAGAUUUUUUUCUUUGCUCUCCAAAGCAAGAAAGCACCCUAAUUAAAUUGUUUUAUAUGGACAGUCAAGACAGACCAAUUAAGUAUGCAUUAGUAUAAAGAUAUAGUCUGUAGAUAAGGCGGUUUAGAAAAUCACGCGUGGGACAAAGGAGAGUGUCAUAGCGUUGGGGAGGGCUGCUAGGACCAGAGAGGUCGUUCACCUCUCUCCCUGGGUCCCAGGGGAAUUGGAGAAGCCUGGGCCUCAGGUGAGAGGGGAUCAGGCCCGCUAACAGGUGGGCAUCAGUAUUGGAGUCUUUCAGGCCCGCGCCCCCGGCCGGAGAGAGAUGGAGUUCAGGGGGUUAGUAUCCCCCACAUCCUUCUACCUGGAGGAGGUAGCAUCCCGUAUUGGUGGGGCACCUUAGGAGGGAGCAAGACCAUGCUGUGCCUUAUACCGUGUGGGGCCCGUUGCUUGAUGUCUGGGUCCAGGGCCCAGCCCUGAAAAUAAGGAAAAAGUGUGAGCCCAGGAGGGCCAGGGGGGAGCGGCCACGGCCACUGCCACUGCCUAGGCUGCAGCCCUCUGGCAGCCAAGAUCAGGGUUGGAGGCCCCCUUCCAACUCCUCCAAGCUGAGCGUUUUUUCGCUUUUAAGGAAACGGGAGUUCUCGGCGAGGAAAGUUCCCACCCGACGCCAUCCGGCCCGAGGGGCGUCGAGGACCAGCCACCGAAGUGGGGUAAAGACCGAGGGUCGGCGUAAAGGUAGCGAGGACAGUGGCUCCUCUUUCGCUACCACAGCUCUGGGUUUCUCCACUCCCCCCAUCCCCGCCCUCUGAGGUGUGGGCGGGCAGAGUGCAUCCCACCCCGAAGGCGACGACCCCCAGGGCAGGGACCUGGGCCUCCCCGCGUCGCGGCGCAGGGCUGUGAUAGGUGGUCCCUGGGCCGCGGGGGCGCGAGCGCAGCGCUCUGCAGCAGGAAGGGCUUGCGGGGCGCACAGGGCGCCCUUGGUACCGGGUCGAGAGGGGGCUGUAGGGGCGAGAAUUAGAGCCUGGGGAGGUGGCUGAAUGUCAAAAGUAAAAAGGUUGAAAAGCCAAUUUUCCCGGUGCGCUUUCGCCCCCCUUUGCUGGUUUCAGAGGCCGUAAAUCAGCAGCCAGCGGCGAGGGCGGGAGGAGCCCCCUCCGCGGGCUCGGCUCUGCCCCGCCCGGGCCAUGCGCACCUCCCGGUGGGCCCCGAAUCGAUCAGAAGCCUAGCUGAGGAUGUCACCGCACUAAAUAUUUACUGAUCACACACAAAUAGCCGGGGCUCGAACGAUUUUCCUCUGUGAGGAGAGCGCAGAGAGAAGGGUAAAUCAUUUUAUUAGUGUGGAUAAAGCCCAGAGCACACUCCGGGCUGGAGUGUUUUAAGAUGUGUCUUCAACGGGAUGAAAAGAGUUAGGGAAAUCGAUACCGAGUGAUUAGAAGCCCCUGGGGUGACGAAGGGGACCAGGACUUUCAGGGAUUUGGCAAGGCUGAGAGGCGGGUGCGAGCCUCGAGGGGAGCGGCCUGACCACCUCCUGGGAUCUCCCGGACGCAGGCCCGAGUGCCUCACUCCUCGACGGGAGACUCGAGACUCGAGGGCGCAGCCAGCCGCAGGGAGUCCGCCGCGGCCCGGCUUGGCGGGGCCGGCGCCGGGUGAGAGCUGCGCCGGCCGCCGCGGGACCGAGGGCUUGGGCGCCUCGGGCUCCAGGUCGCGAGUGGCAGUGGUCAUGUGGCUCGAGGAGGGGAAUCUCAGGCCCGGCGCAGGGAUGCUGGCAGGUUCCCCCACAGGGCGGGUUCUCCAGACAGCCUCCUGGAGAAACCGUGUGGCCCAAAUGGGUUGCAUUUCCCCCAUGCCGUGCCCCGCAGCAUCCCCGAACUUUCUCCUAGCUGAAUCUCUGCCCCGCAUCUCCCCUAGCGUUUCUAAAGAGGACUCAGCGGCCCAGCCCCGCCAGCUGCCUCUCCCUCCCACCCAGUGUCAAGGGCGGCCGCCGGGUGGCGGAACCGCUACGGACCGCAGGGCGAGUGGAUUCCAGGUUCGGGGCUCCUGGGCAGGUGGAAGUCUGAGGCCGAGGAGGAAGGCAGAAGCAGGGUGACACACACCAACGACGUCCUCAGGACGUCUCCAUCCUCUCCUGGGCAGGAAAUCAGCUUUGAGGGUCUCAAGCCACACUCUUAGCUAGGGAAUUCGUCUGUGGCCCCAAGGCUGGCUGCUGGAGCUUAAACGGUGGAGGCACAAAGGCUUGCGGGGCUCGCUGAAGUUAGAAAGGCUUUGGGGGCAGUUUGCAGGGAAGGAGAGCAAAAUCUUCUUCCCAAACUCAAGCAGCAAAGUCCUGGCGCAAAAAUGACUUUUCAGUUCUGGAAGCGGGAGGCUCGCUCGCUACCAGGAACCAACCUUGAGGUUUGUAACAGCUGCACAUAAUCAAGAAGGCACUAAUUUCGGGGGAAACGAGGGGGCGGAAGGUGAGAAAAAGGAAGAAUCUUUUUCGUUUUCUCCUUCCCUUUCUCGUUUUUGACCUUUUCCUAAAAAGAUCUGCUUUUCCUGAAGAAACUGAUAGCUUGCUUGCUUUCUUGCUUGCUUGCUUGCUUAUUUAUUUAUUUAUUUAUUUAUUUAUUUAUUUAUUUAUUUAUUUAUUUAUUUAUUUAUUUCCCCUCUCCCCAAAUUGCUCAAUUUCCUUGGCAGCUUGAAGAAUUCAGUUCAGGCUGCCCUACUUGUCUUCUCGGUGCAACAGGAAAUAUAAGUGCAGAUCCAAUUAACCGUUUUCCAGAAGGGAGUUUUUUUUUUUUUUUUUUUUAAUAUAUGAAUCCCAAAUGAAUUGGAGUGAUGUGUUCAGGCAUUCCUAACUUUUAUGAUUUCCUCCCUCCUUCCUUUACUAUCUGUCUUUGUGCCUCCAGGGCCAGUGAAGGAGCAGGGCAGAUUCUAGAUUGCUUUCAGAGUUUGCCUUCUCUGAUGAUGGAUUACCAUGUCAAUUUAAACGGCAUAGGAUUAAUUUGUUUCAAUGAUUUCUCUUUAGGCUGAAUGCCAGCCGUUUUUCUACCUCUCCCCUUGCUCUUCAGA